rfam:Otolemur garnettii contig059044, whole genome shotgun sequence.
ACAAAGGCUCUUUUAAGAGCCACCAAUCUCUUCGGCAUUAAGAGU